UUCCGGUUGAUCCUGCCGGACCCGACUGCUAUCAGAGUAGGACUAAGCCAUGCGAGUCAACGCCGUAAGGCGUGGCAUACGGCUCAGUAACACGUAGUCAACAUGCCCAAAGGACGUGGAUAACCUCGGGAAACUGUGGAUAAACCGCGAUAGGCCAAGGUUUCUGGAAUGAGCCAUGGCCGAAAUCUAUAUGGCCUUUGGAUUGGACUGCGGCCGAUCAGGCUGUUGGUGAGGUAAUGGCCCACCAAACCUGUAACCGGUACGGGCUUUGAGAGAAGGAGCCCGGAGAUGGGCACUGAGACAAGGGCCCAGGCCCUAUGGGGCGCAGCAGGCGCGAAACCUCUGCAAUAGGCGAAAGCUUGACAGGGUUACUCUGAGUGAUGCCCCGCUAAGGGU
rnacentral:rRNA from 1 species